rnacentral:rRNA from 1 species
UGAGUAACCUGCCCUUAACUCUGGGAUAAGCCUGGGAAACUGGGUCUAAUACCGGAUAUGACUCCUCAUCGCAUGGUGGGGGGUGGAAAGCUUUAUUGUGGUUUUGGAUGGACUCGCGGCCUAUCAGCUUGUUGGUGGGGUGAUGGCCUACCAAGGCGGCGACGGGUAGCCGGCCUGAGAGGGCGACCGGCCACACUGGGACUGAGACACGGCCCAGACUCCUACGGGAGGCAG